GUGUCCUGAGGGGUGAGACAGUGAGAGCCGGGCUGAGGAAGGGAGGCCCCAAGGGAGGCAGGAGCUCAGCAGGCAGAGGGUGAGUGCAGGUUCCCUGAGCACAAACAACAGCACAGGUCACCUGGAAUGUGGGGAAGACAGUGGGGGGGCCAGAGGCUGGGUCCUCCUCCAGCGCUGCCAGCUCUCAGUUCUUGUGCCAACGUCACCUUCGCAGCAGAGCCUCCCCUGAGUACCCAUUAUCACCGUGCAACCUUCCCCUCACUCUCUCUCUCUCCUAUCCCUGUGGGAUUUCGCUCCAUAGCUCUUAUCUCCACACCGUAUCUUGCUCUCUGUUUUUGGCCAUUUUUCUGUUUCCCCCGGCUCAUAAAGCUGCACAAAGGCAGGUGCAGUGGGAUCUAGGGUGCCUGGCACACAGCAGAUGCUCCAUAAACCUUGAAUGAAGCCUAUGGGUCCCCCUGUGCCAGCUCUACUCUCAGCCCUUUGCAUGGACUAUCGAGUCUAUCCACACGACCACCCAGCAAGAAGCGUCUCCUGACACAUCUCUCCAGCCUCACACGUCUGGGACCCAAUCGCGGUCCAUUCAACGGGUGUCUGAGCCGAGUUUCGCUGCAACUUCAACAUCAGUCCCCGUUGACAGGAAAUCCUGUUGUCUUAAGCUGCAAGAUACCCCCAGAACCUGACCAGGUCUCGCCACCUCUACUGCUUCCAAGACGACCCUGGCUCUCACCUGCUUCCUCCUGGGUGUCCAUGGGGGUCCCCUCCCCCACUCCCACAUAUCCCUCACUCUAUUCUUCACCCAUCAACCAGAAGGAUCACCAUAAAGGUAAGUUAAUUCCUGUCUCUCCUCUGCUCAGACCCUCCAUAGGUGGUCUGAAUCCCAUCCCAGUGAGAAUCGAAUUCUAAGUCCUUAAAUUGGCCCCAAAGGCUCUAGGUGAUCUGGCCUCCCCCUCUCUCUGUCUCUCUGUCCUGCUCUGCUCUGCCUUGAUCACAUUGUUGGAGCCACACUGGUCUCUAGGCUCCUCCUUGAACACACAGCAGGCAUAUGGCCACCCCAGGGCCUUUACAUAUACUCCCUUGCUCCUGGCUCUCUGGAAUUGUCUCCUCCUUCCUGAAUUGCUUGAAAAAGGCUCAAAGAGGUGUUGACCCUCAAUAGCUGGUUCAGUGGCAGAGCCCAGACAGGGAGCCAACAUCUCUCUGAUUCAGACAUUAAGCUCUUUAUCUGCUGUGCUCUCCUGACUGGGCCGCCCCACCCUUUUCCCUGGGACCACCGCCCAGUUGCUUAGGGGAGGUCAAGGCCCUUCACGUUCCAACCCUUUUGUUCUUCCUCAGCUUGGGGUCCUGCUGUGGCCCACCUUGGGCAGCCUGUGCUCUUGGCCCAGCCCUCUGCCACCCCCAUGCCUUCUCAGGGGCUGCUCUGGCUCCAGGAAUGCCCUUCUGUCCUCCAUAUAUUCCCUGACCUCUUGUCCUACUCAGCUUCUGAUGCCUGGUCCUGCCGAUGGUCAGGAAAUACUUGCUAAACUGCUGAACUGAACAGAACCAGGGAAGCCAAACACAUCCUCCAAGAGAUCUGGCUCCAAUGUCGAAAGCUAACCAAACAUGGAUUGUGAUAGGAACAUUCAUUCGUGGCAUAAAAGCUGUGUUUCAUGUGA